CACAGCACAGGUACAGAUGAGUCUCAGGUACAGAUGAGUCCCAGGUACAGAUGAGUCACAGGUACAGAUGAGUCAGAGCACAGGUACAGAUGAGUCACAGGUACAGAUGAGUCACAGGUACAGGUACAGAUGAGUCACAGGUACAGGUACAGAUGAGUCACAGGUACAGGUACAGAUGAGUCACAGGUACAGAUGAGUCACAGGUACAGGUACAGAUGAGUCACAGGUACAGAUGAGUCACAGGUACAGGUACAGAUGAGUCACAGGUACAGAUGAGUCACAGGUACAGGUACAGAUGAGUCACAGGUACAGAUGAGUCACAGGUACAGGUACAGAUGAGUCUCAGGUACAGAUGAGACACAGGUACAGAUGAGACACAGGUACAGAUGAGACACAGGUACAGAUGAGUCACAGGUACAGAUGAGUCUCAGGUACAGAUGAGUCAGAGUACUGGUACAGAUCAGUCACAGGUACAGAUGAGUCACAGAUACAGCUGAGUCAGAGCACAGGUACAGAUGAGUCACAGGUACAGGUACAGAUGAGUCUCAGGUACAGAUGAGACACAGGUACAGAUGAG